rnacentral:rRNA from 1 species
AUUGAACGCUGGCGGCAGGCCUAACACAUGCAAGUCGAACGAGUGGCGGACGGGUGAGUAAUGUCCGGGAAACUGCCUGAUGGAGGGGGAUAACUACUGGAAACGGUAGCUAAUACCGCAUACCAUCGGAUGUGCCCAGAUGGGAUUAGCUAGUAGGUGGGGUAACGGCUCACCUAGGCGACGCUCCCUAGCUGGUCUGAGAGGAUGACCAGCCCAGCUGGAACUGGGGAAUGGUCCAGACUCCUACGGGAGGCAGCAGUGGGGAAUAUUGCACAAUGGGCGCAAGCCUGAUGCAUCCAUGCCGCGUGUAUGAAGAAGGCCUUCGGGUUGUAAAGUACUUUCAGCGGGGAGGCGUUACCCGCAGAAGAAGCACCGGCUAACUCCGUGCCAGCCGCCGCGGUAGUUC